CGGAUUGUAGUCUGCAACCCGACUACAUGAAGCUGGAAUCGCUAGUAAUCGCGGAUCAGAAUGCCGCGGUGAAUACGUUCCCGGGUCUUGUACACACCGCCCGUCACACCAUGGGAGUCGGAAAUGCCCGAAGCCGGUGACCUAACCUUUCAGGAAGGAGCCAUCGAAGGCAGGUCUGAUAACUGGGGUGAAGUCGUAACAAGGUAAC
rnacentral:rRNA from 1 species